GUUUGGAUUAAUUUGGUCAAGUAGUUUCAGAGGAGAAGAUUUUUGUAAAAGAUUACUAAGAUUUACGAAAAAUGGUUAACAAUUGACUAUAAAGGGCAAUAACUCCUAAAGGAGUCAACUGACCAUUUCGGUCAUGUUGACUUAUUUGUAAAUCUUACUUUGCUGAACAUUAUUGCUGUUUACAGUUUAUCUCUAUCUAUAAUAAUAUUCAAG
rnacentral:lncRNA from 1 species